CUACGGGUGGCUGCAGUGGGGAAUAUUGGACAAUGGGGGAAACCCUGAUCCAGCAAUGCCGCGUGUGUGAAGAAGGCCUGCGGGUUGUAAAGCACUUUCGGUUGGGAGGACUGCUUCUAGCACUAAUAUUGUUGGAAGUUGACGUUACCUUCAGAAGAAGCACCGGCUAACUCCGUGCCAGCAGCCGCGGUAAUACGGAGGGUGCAGGCGUUAAUCGGAAUUACUGGGCGUAAAGCGCGCGUAGGCGGUUAGAUCAGUCGGGUGUGAAAGCCCCGGGCUUAACCUGGGAACUGCAUCCGAUACUGUCUAGCUUGAGUACAGGAGAGGAGAGUGGAAUUCCACAUGUAGCGGUGAAAUGCGUAGAUAUGUGGAGGAACACCAAUGGCGAAGGCAGCUCUCUGGCCUGAUACUGACGCUGAGGUGCGAAAGCGUGGGGAGCAAACAGGAUUAGAUACCCUUGUAGUC
rnacentral:rRNA from 1 species